rnacentral:rRNA from 1 species
AUACGGAGGGUGCGAGCGUUAUUCGGAAUCACUGGGCGUAAAGGACGCGUAGGCGGGUUGGCAAGUCAGAUGUGAAAUCCUACAGCUUAACUGUAGAACUGCAUUUGAAACUGCUAACCUAGAGUAUGUGAGGGGGAGAUGGAAUUAGUGGUGUAGGGGUAAAAUCCGUAGAUAUCACUAGGAAUACCGAAAGCGAAGGCGAUCUCCUGGAACAUAACUGACGCUAAGGCGUGAAAGCGUGGGGAGCAAACAGAAUUAGAUACCCUAGUAGUCC